AGUUUGAUCCUGGCUCAGAUUGAACCCUGGCGGCAGGCCUAACACAUGCAAGUCGAACGGUAGCGCAGAGGAGCUUGCUCCUUGGGUGACGAGUGGCGGACGGGUGAGUAAUGUCUGGGAAAGUGCCCGAUGGAGGGGGAUAACUACUGGAAACGGUAGCUAAUACCGCAUAACGUCGCAAGACCAAAGAGGGGGACCUUCGGGCCUCUUGCCAUCGGAUGUGCCCAGAUGGGAUUAGCUAGUAGGUGGGGUAACGGCUCACCUAGGCGACGAUCCCUAGCUGGUCUGAGAGGAUGACCAGCCACACUGGAACUGAGACACGGUCCAGACUCCUACGGGAGGCAGCAGUGGGGAAUAUUGCACAAUGGGCGCAAGCCUGAUGCAGCCAUGCCGCGUGUAUGAAGAAGGCCUUCGGGUUGUAAAGUACUUUCAGCGAGGAGGAAGGUGUUGAGGUUAAUAACCUCAGCAAUUGACGUUACUCGCAGAAGAAGCACCGGCUAACUCCGUGCCAGCAG
rnacentral:rRNA from 1 species